rnacentral:rRNA from 1 species
AGUCGAACGGUAACAGGAAGCAGCUUGCUGCUUUGCUGACGAGUGGCGGACGGGUGAGUAAUGUCUGGGAAACUGCCUGAUGGAGGGGGAUAACUACUGGAAACGGUAGCUAAUACCGCAUAACGUCGCAAGACCAAAGAGGGGGACCUUAGGGCCUCUUGCCAUCGGAUGUGCCCAGAUGGGAUUAGCUAGUAGGUGGGGUAAAGGCUCACCUAGGCGACGAUCCCUAGCUGGUCUGAGAGGAUGACCAGCCACACUGGAACUGAGACACGGUCCAGACUCCUACGGGAGGCAGCAGUGGGGAAUAUUGCACAAUGGGCGCAAGCCUGAUGCAGCCAUGCCGCGUGUAUGAAGAAGGCCUUCGGGUUGUAAAGUACUUUCAGCGGGGAGGAAGGGAGUAAAGUUAAUACCUUUGCUCAUUGACGUUACCCGCAGAAGAAGCACCGGCUAACUCCGUGCCAGCAGCCGCGGUAAUACGGAGGGUGCAAGCGUUAAUCGGAAUUACUGGGCGUAAAGCGCACGCAGGCGGUUUGUUAAGUCAGAUGUGAAAUCCCCGGGCUCAACCUGGGAACUGCAUCUGAUACUGGCAAGCUUGAGUCUCGUAGAGGGGGGUAGAAUUCCAGGUGUAGCGGUGAAAUGCGUAGAGAUCUGGAGGAAUACCGG